UAAUUAUAAACAUAAGUCAACCCAGCACUUGCAUAAGGGUUUCAUAUGUGUAGCCGCUCGACGCCCCGAGCCUCGCUGGUUAACGCCGCCUAACUUGCCAACCCAACAAGUUGACGCGCCUCGCCGCCACUCUCAGAAUAACUGUGGACGCUGUCCACAGCACCAGCACCACUCAAGAGCUCCCUGACUGCCGAAUGACAUUGGUGAAGCCAAGCAGUCAUCCAUUAAGCAGUAGGGGGCGCAGUAUACCUGGGUACUGACAACUUAGUUAGCCAUUGGAACACCAUUGGGAAAAGGUGGCGCACAACGCUAUUGGCAUUCACUAACGAACAAACAAUCGUGUCCGCCUGUUAUGACAGGUGAGAAGAGACCCGAUCACGGCUGGUGCACUCUUGCAGCGGUACUGCUACCCGUUGAGGACGGGGGUAGCAGCCGAGUUAAUCUACUUCAUGAUUCCAAUAUGGUACAAUGAAGGUUAAGAUGCGGAACCCACGGUCACGAAGAGUGAAAGUUUUUAAGAUCUGCAGCAUCACGACGAAAGCUCCUACCGACAGAUGAACUUUGUCUCAUAAAGUCACUUUAACUAACCACGUAACAGAAAAUGACACUACGACGAUGUGUGGUUUUGUCUUCAUAUCUUGAGCCACGUUAGUGACUCUUCUGCACAUGUAUGCCACGCGUAAGCGUCUUGCUAUUUAACUUCUUAAAUUCCCUACCUUCCUUUAAACAGCCGUUUAGCGCCUUGGUCUUCCCUUGUUAUCGCAAAGAGUCGCAAGAACCAGCUUAGGUUUCUUAGACUGUCUUCCGGAGCAAGUUCUCCCUCGUUCCUUAUCUCACUUUCUCCAAUUAACACUUCGGGGCUAUACUUUUUCUGAACAUGUUGUCGUUUCUGAUUUAAUUACUCAGAACGAAGUGUCCAUGUAGCACGGCCUAUGGUGAGCCCGUAAACCUUCUGAACAUGCCCGCCUUCUACUUCAAGAACUUGUUCACUCAAAAUCCUUGCAAGUUGACUAUGCUUUUCUAACAGUACGUCAACACCGUUUUCUGUCUUCUCUUCAAUGAUCUAUGUAAUCCUGUAUUUCCCGUCUCUUUUUAACACUGCUCGCCUCUCUUCUCACCACUCCUCCACACUACACGACAAACUUCAACGUCUGAUUUCCAACAGUAUUUGGGCUAAAUACACUCCGACUGUUACCAACCUUUCUUUUUCCCCCCUCUAAGUACCAGCAAGAACGUCUAGGAUUUGGUCGCUUGUUACUUCCUCUGGCUUUCGCUGUGGCAUUUACCUAAUUAGUUCUUUUGCUAAGUUUGUCAACCCUAACUCUAGUACUCUAUCGGACCGGUCUUCCUUCAUGGGGGGGGGGGGGCCUUAUACCCAUUCUUGAGUUUCUAAAAAUCACCUUCCGUGUCUCUUUCAGCUUACCCUUGCCUCCCUGAAAGCUAACAACUCUCUAUUCUUAUCCUUCCUUCCGACAAAGGCAACUCGGUGGUUGGCCUUGACAGUGGAUUUCCCCCAGAAAGCUGAUAGUCUUGCUCUCUGACUCCCGCACAUGUCCUCGUCUGGCUUCUAACACUUUGGAUCGCCUUAAAACUUCCUUCAACCGUGAACCAUGACGGCUCUCUAGGCUUGGAUCGAAGUCAGGACGACAAAUUAAACGUUUGUCAUCUGCCAUUAUCUUCCUUAUUUCUAUAUUCUACCUAAGACUUAGACCUGGUGUUCCUCUUCGUCCUGAAAUUUCUUAAAGGGGCUCUGUCGGCUACUUAUCUUGGCACUUUCUCCUGCCCACCUUCGUCACUCUCAGGACUUCCUAAAUAAACUGCUCCUGCGGCCCUCUUCUAAGAUGCUUAGUCGGUGUAGAUUGUUUACUAAUGUUCUCCUUGAUGACUCUUUCCUUAAUCAUAAGGCAACGGAGGGCCUUCAUCUCUCGCUCCCCACUAACGUUUUCCUUUAAUUCAUCAGACUGUGUUGACUCUAAUUCCUUCUUUUUCAACGGAAAAUACUUCUAACUUUCGGGGUCGCUAUGGGUUGCCCUCUAUCCCCCUCCCCAGGUCUUGCUAAUCUUGAUAUGGAAUAUUUCGAAACUGUUCUUUUUCUCACAAUUGAUACUCUUCCCUCUUUCUGGCUUCGCUAUGUUGACAUUUUUUGCUUUAUGGCCUAAUGACCUUCCAGCCUUUCCUCUCCUUAACAAUCUGGCUCUCGCUAUCCAUUUCAAAGUUGAAUGGGAAUCUAAUUCCCUCCUUACUUUUUUAACGUUCAUGUUCACAGCCGUGUCAAGUUUGUCUACCGCAAACCCACGUAUGUACACUUAUUUUCCUACCAUCCUCCUGUUAAGAAAAGCGUUCUCGUCUCUUCCUCCGUGCUCUACACAUUAGUGACCCUCGGUUUCUUGAUUCUGAAAUUUCCUUUAUUUACUAAUCUUUUUCUCGCCUUGGUUACUCUUUGCAUUUUCUUAACUGUGCCUAUUUUAAAGCUAAAAGAAAUUUUUCAUCCCAAACCCCUUUUCCACCACUAGUACCCCUGUGCUCUGCCUUUCAUAUCCGAACUGAAAUCUUGCUAAUACCCUUCGUUCUCUUGAC